GGCGGUAUCGUCUAGUGGUCUAGGACGAAGGAUUCUCAGUCCUUAAACCGGGGUUCGAUUCCCCGUACCGCUA
rnacentral:tRNA from 1 species